CAGAAUCCCCCCUAGACGUAAUGAUACCAUAGCGCCGCGGAUCUUCGGUUGGCCCCGGAUAGCCGGCUUCGGUCGGUGAGUAGAGCCGUUCGUGACUGGGCUGGGGUGCGGCCGGAUGAUGGUCGCCCCUCUCCAAUCUCGCACCGCAUGUUUGUGGAGAACCUGGUGCUAAAUCACUUGCAGACGACCUGAUUCUGGGUCAGGGUUUCGUACGUAGCAGAGCAGCUCCCUCGCUGCGAUCU
rnacentral:rRNA from 1 species